rnacentral:rRNA from 1 species
AGUGAACGCUGGCGGUAGGCCUAACACAUGCAAGUCGAACGGCAGCACAGUAAGAGCUUGCUCUUACGGGUGGCGAGUGGCGGACGGGUGAGGAAUACAUCGGAAUCUACUUUUUCGUGGGGGAUAACGUAGGGAAACUUACGCUAAUACCGCAUACGAUCUACGGGUGAAAGCAGGGGAUCUUCGGACCUUGCGCGACUGAAUGAGCCGAUGUCGGAUUAGCUAGUUGGCGGGGUAAAGGCCCACCAAGGCGACGAUCCGUAGCUGGUCUGAGAGGAUGAUCAGCCACACUGGAACUGAGACACGGUGCAGACUCCUACGGGAGGCAGCAGUGGGGAAUAUUGGACAAUGGGCGCAAGCCUGAUCCAGCCAUACCGCGUGGGUGAAGAAGGCCUUCGGGUUGUAAAGCCCUUUUGUUGGGAAAGAAAAGCAGCAGGUUAAUACCCCGCUGUUCUGACGGUACCCAAAGAAUAAGCACCGGCUAACUUCGUG